AACGAACGCUGGCGGCAGGCUUAACACAUGCAAGCCGAACGCAUCCUUCGGGGUGAGUGGCAGACGGGUGAGUAACGCGUGGGAACGUGCCCUUCAGUUCGGGAUGACCCAGGGAAACUUGGGCUAAUACCGGAUACGUGCGAGAGCAGAAAGAUUUAUCGCUGAAGGAUCGGCCCGCGUCGGAUUAGCUAGUUGGUGGGGUAAUGGCCCACCAAGGCGACGAUCAGUAGCUGGUCUGAGAGGAUGAUGAGCCACAUUGGGACUGAGACACGGCCCAAACUCCUACGGGAGGCAGCAGUGGGGAAUAUUGGACAAUGGGCGCAAGCCUGAUCCAGCCAUGCCGCGUGAGUGAUGAAGGCCUUAGGGUUGUAAAGCUCUUUCGUCCGGGACGAUAAUGACGGUACCGGAAGAAGAAGCCCCGGCUAACUUCGUGCCAGCCGCCGCAGUAA
rnacentral:rRNA from 1 species